rnacentral:rRNA from 1 species
AACUCUUAACGGUGGAUCACUCCGCUCCUGCAUUGAUGAAGAAUGCAGCCAGCUGUGAGAAUUAAUGUGAGUUGCAGGACACACUGAUCAUCAUUUCAAAUGCACUUGUGACUCUGUGUUCCUCCCAGAGCUACACCUGUCUGAGUCAUC